rnacentral:rRNA from 1 species
GACGAACGCUGGCGGCGUGCUUAACACAUGCAAGUCGAACGGACAGGCCCUGCUCUUGUGGGUUGCUCGAGUGCCGCGCGCGUGAGUAACACGUGUGUAACAUCCCCCUGACUUUGUGAUAUCUUCAGGGAACUGCGGCUCUUACCCGGUAUAAGCUCCUGCAGCAUGUUGGUGGUUGGUGAGUUUCGGCGGUUCGGGAUGGUCUAGAUGCUUCUCAGCUUGUUGGGGGAGUAGUGGCUGACCAAGCCUAUGACGGCUAGCCGGCCUGGGAGGGUGACCGGGCACAAUGGGACUGAGAGAGGGACCAGAAGGGUACGGGAGGCAGUAGUGGGGAAUAUUGCGCAAUGAGGCGAAGCGUGAUGCAGCAACGCCGCGUGCGGGAUGACGGCCUACGGGUUGUAAACCGCUUUCGACGUAGACGAAGCGUGAGUGACGGUAAUGGGUAAAGAAGCAACGGCUAACUACGUG